AUUGAACGCUGGCGGCAUGCCUUACACAUGCAAGUCGAACGGCAGCACGGGUGCUUGCACCUGGUGGCGAGUGGCGAACGGGUGAGUAAUACAUCGGAACAUGUCCUGUAGUGGGGGAUAGCCCGGCGAAAGCCGGAUUAAUACCGCAUACGAUCUACGGAUGAAAGCGGGGGACCUUCGGGCCUCGCGCUAUAGGGUUGGCCGAUGGCUGAUUAGCUAGUUGGUGGGGUAAAGGCCUACCAAGGCGACGAUCAGUAGCUGGUCUGAGAGGACGACCAGCCACACUGGGACUGAGACACGGCCCAGACUCCUACGGGAGGCAGCAGUGGGGAAUUUUGGACAAUGGGCGAAAGCCUGAUCUAGCAAUGCCGCGUGUGUGAAGAAGGCCUUCGGGUUGUAAAGCACUUUUGUCCGGAAAGAAAUCCUUGGCCCUAAUACGGUCGGGGGAUGACGGUACCGGAAGAAUAAGCACCGGCUAACUACGUG
rnacentral:rRNA from 1 species